AUCGCUUCUCGGCCUUUUGGCUAAGAUCAAGUGUAGUAUCUGUUCUUAUCAGUUUAAUAUACUUUUCAUCCCAAAGCCACUAAGUGAAACCUUUCUUCAACAUUCACCUCUG
rnacentral:snRNA from 2 species